rnacentral:rRNA from 1 species
AUGGAAACCGCCACCGUCCUCCUGCCUCGUGGCGCCGCCCGUUCCCUAGCGCCCCCGCCGCCCGCUCCCCAGCACAAGCCGGCGAGCAGCGCAGCCCCUUCCCUUCAACGCCUCCUCACUCCAGGAAGCGUGACCUUCUCCCUCUGGCGCCUCCUCCCUCCAGCGCCUCCUCUCUCCGGUGAGCAGCACGGCAUAGAUGGCAUGAACAGCGCGGGCGGCACGGCGGCUUCCUCACUCCGGCGAGCAGCGUGGCUUUGUCACUCCGGCGAGCAGCGCGAGUGGCGUGGGUUCCUUCUUCCAUCACCUCCUCACACCGAUGAGCGGCGCGGCCUCCUCACUCCGGCGAGUAGCAUGGGCCGCGCGGCGCAGGCUCCUCCCUCCGGUGCCUCCUCACUCCGGCAAGCAGCGCGACCUCCUCCUUCCGGCGCCUCCUCACUCCGGCGUGGCCUCCAUCCAGCGUGGCCUCCCUCCGGCAGCGGCGCUUUUCUCCGUUGA